AGAUUGAACGCUGGCGGCGUGCCUAACACAUGCAAGUCGAGCGGUAACAGGUGUAGCAAUACAUGCUGACGAGCGGCGAACGGGUGAGUAAUGCUUUGGAAUCUUCCCAGUAGUGGGGAACAACCAGUCGAAAGAUUGGCUAAUACCGCAUACGUCUGUAAAGGGAAAGCGGGGGCUCGUAAGACCUCGCGCUAUUGGAUGAGCCAAAGUCGGAUUAGCUAGUUGGUGGGUAACGGCCUACCAAGGCGACAAUCCGUAGCUGGUCUGAGAGGACGACCAGCCACACCGGAACUGAGACACGGUCCGGACUCCUACGGGAGGCAGCAGUGGGGAAUAUUGGACAAUGGGGGAAACCCUGAUCCAGCGACGCCGCGUGUGUGAAGAAGGCCUGCGGGUUGUAAAGCACUUUUAGUGGGGACAAAAGCUACGGACUAACAUUCUGUGGUCUUGAUUUAACCCAAGAAAAGCACCGGCUAACUCUGUGCCAGCAGCCGCGGUAA
rnacentral:rRNA from 1 species